AUUGAACGCUGGCGGCAGGCCUAACACAUGCAAGUCGAGCGAGCGGCGGACGGGUGAGUAAUAUAUCGGAAUCUGCCCAAUAGCGGGGGAUAACUACUCGAAAGAGUGGCUAAUACCGCAUACUAUCGGAUAGACCCAUAUAGGAUUAGCUAGUGGGUGGGGUAAUGGCCAACCUAGGCGACGAUCCCUAGCUGGUUUGAGAGGAUGAGCAGCCACACUGGGACUGAGACUAGGCCCAGACUCGUACGGGAGGAAGCAGUGGGGAAUUUUGCAGAAUGGGGGCAAGCCUGAUCCAGCCAACCAGCGUGUAUGAAGAAGGCCUUCGGGUUGUAAAGUACUUUUGGCAGAGAAGCGGUACCGACAGAAUAAGCACCGGCUAACUCCGUGCCAGCGGGCGCGGUAAUAC
rnacentral:rRNA from 1 species